GCCAGACUCCUACGGGAGGCAGCAGUGAGGAAUAUUGGUCAAUGGGCGCGAGCCUGAACCAGCCAAGUCGCGUGAGGGAGGACGGCCCUACGGGUUGUAAACCUCUUUUGCCGGGGAGCAACGGGCGUCACGUGUGGCGCCACUGAGAGUACCCGGAGAAAAAGCAUCGGCUAACUCCGUGCCAGCAGCCGCGGUAAUACGGAGGAUGCGAGCGUUAUCCGGAUUUAUUGGGUUUAAAGGGUGCGUAGGCGGAUCUUAAAGUCGGGGGUAAAAUGGGGGGGCUCACCCCCUUCCCGCCAUUGAAACUGGCGCUCUUGAGUGGAAGAGAAGUAUGCGGAAUGCGUGGUGUAGCGGUGAAAUGCAUAGAUAUCACGCAGAACUCCGAUUGCGAAGGCAGCAUACCGGCGCGCAACUGACGCUCAUGCACGAAAGCGUGGGUAUCGAGCAGGAUUAGAUACCCUAGUAGU
rnacentral:rRNA from 1 species